UCUGGAUUCAGGUAGGGGAAGUGUGUCUGGAAAACUCCUAAGAGAAGUUCAUACUCCUCUGGGAUUGGGACCAGAAAGCACAUUCUCUGUGGCCUCCAAAUCUGCAAGCCACAAGUUUAGUGGUUACCAGAUCUUAAUUUCAGUGGAGAUAAACCUCCCAUGUGAGAGGUGCCCUCCCAGAAGCCAGAGGAAGACAUUCUCAUUAUCCAGGACAAGAGGCUGAGACUCAGUGAAUGCCACACAGAGACCUCGUUAAAAUUAUUCUGAUUUCCUGGCACCUCCCCAGUUUGGUCAUUUCCCCACAACUGCCUCUCUUUGUUCAAUCCCACAGAAAAGCAAGUAGGGUUUACCAUGUCCCUGGGUCUUCAUUUCCAUGUAAAGGCUCCAGUGUCAUGUAA